CAUAGGCAAAGUUCAAUAGUAUGAUGGGGGAACAGGAAGAAAUGUUGAGAAUGAAAGAUUUCACCUCUGACAAUAACAGUGACUCUUUACAGGAAGUGCAGUAAACAUGUAGAAUCCACUGAAUAUGUACCAAGAGUAGGCUCCAGAUGUUGUGGACUACAUCUCCCAGACAUAAUGCCCUCACAGCUAUAACGCUGGGAAAUCAUCAGGGGACUGUAUUCCACUACAUAUGGAGUGCCGAACGUUGCCUACUCCUGACCAACACCAUCUAUGGCUUUGAUUUAAUAGGAAUUUCAAAGGAUUCAACAUUGUUAGAAAAACUUUAAAAAAAUAUUUAUAUACAGAACUCAUCAAAUGUCUAUGAGAAUUUUUGUAGGCAAAUAAUCUGGAAACAUUUAUCAACAUUAUUGAAUUGUUUUGAAAGCUGAACCUAAAGAAAUGUUUAAUAUAACAUAUAAUAUAUAUAUAUAUAAAUAUAUAGCACAUAAUUCUGUACAGAUUUAGCGGAAUGCAUUUAAACAUUGGUUUAGUGCUGCGUUUUCUAUCUAUUGUCAUUGGAGAGCGAUCCUUUAAAUGAACACUGUCCUCGAUAUUUUCCUUAUCUUGAUAAAUGCAUUACAUUAUAAUAUAGAAGUAGUAAGCAACCAUCAGCACUCCAGAUCUUGUGGACUACACAUACUAUAAUGCUUUUACAUCCAUACUACUGGCAAGGCAUCAGGGGAAAUGAAGUUCACAAUAUUUGGAGUUCCAAAGGUUGCCUACUCCUUUCUCAUUAUGAAUUAUUUUUUUCAGUUCGUAUAUAUUGACAUUUUUUUUUUCAAUUUGUAAAUUUUCCAAAGCUUGCCGACCCUUGCCCUAAAGUGAAGUCCGCAUGCCUAGCACUAAAAACACGGGAGGCCCUUAUGUAUGAAGUUUUGUGACUGUCAGUUGGGUGGGAGGUUAUGACAAUGCACGUAACUGUACAAACAGAGUUUUGGGGGAAUUUAAUUAUGUUUCAAUAAGGAUUAUAAUGUGCACACUUAUCUAUGUAAAUAUGUAUUUAUCUGUAAAUACGAUUUUCUAUUUUUUUAAAUAUAAUUUUUAUCACCAGAUAUUUUGAUAAAGUUCAAUGUUUCAAUAAAGUGCGGUGGCCAUUUUUACAUCAAGUCAGAUGUCAAGUGUCAUUAUUAAUUAACAGAGGGGUGACCAUCUAGGGCAAGGGAAGACAUGGGGAGCAUGUGUCCGCAGAAAUAACACACAGAGCUCUGUGCAAUGGGUGUUGGGACUCGUUUUUACCAUCUGGUCUUAUUUACAAUAAUUUCAGAGAUGCAUAUUUCCUACUGAAGCUUGUCUCACAGUUAAUACUUGGUGCAGAUGGUCUGGCUGAGAGUGAUGUACAAUGAGCAAUCUAUCUGCGAUAUGGAAUGUAUACCAGAAUCUCGAGUAGCAUUACAUAGUCUUCCUUAUAUAUAACACAGAAAACAUGCUGGGUGCACAGAAUCUGCUUACUAUGCAUAAAAUCACUG